AUUAAUAAUUAUUUUAAAUUGGCAGAAUUAUAACUUUUUUUUUGCGGCAACAAUACUGUUAAACGUCUACAGGCCAACAUUAUUUACGUUAAAUGAUGAACUGUUAAACGUACCUCAAACGGCCAACCUACGUUACGUGACUCGCAUAAUCGUGAGACGACAAAUUAAUAGUUUUAUUAAGUUUCAGACAGUGACGGAUGGCUGAAAUAUGCGAAUACCUGUGAAAAUAGAGGAAAAAGUCGUUUCUGACACUGAAAAGCGAAUUUAACAUUUAAGUGAGUCAAAUGAGUUCAAAAAGUGAAUACGACUUUCUGCUCUAAUUUAAACGCCUGCAGUUGUCCAUAUCGACAUGUAAAUCAUACAAAUUACGUACAAUAUAGUCGGACUGCAGGUCUAAAAGAACCGACGAUCCAGUUCAAAUAAACCGGUUCAGUAGGCUAAUUCUCGAACAAAUUUCCCGGAAAAGAAUCGACGUCUCAGGGCAUUUCAAAGUGCGUGCACGCACAGCGAUUGACUCAGGACGCGUUAGUGAGGUGUUUUGAUGCUUUUGUGGUUUAUAAAGUCUUUUUACAUACAAAUUAUAAUUCAAAAUGUGUUUUUUCCUGUCAGAAAAGCACAUGGAUACAUUUGUGAGAGAAUAACUCGUCGAGUGCAGUCUUAUUGAUGCGUCUAACGGUUGGAACAAACAUGGAAUUCCUUAACCCAGCAGAGUCCACAAAACCCCAUCCAAUUGUCAUGGCGAUUUAAAAAUGCCAGCAGAUCUCUCAGACAUUGAUCAUAAUCAAUGGACAGGUAAGGAUAUUCUGGACUAUUUUCCAAAUAAAUUGCUAAUUGUAUAUUUAAUUGCAUUUUUCCACAUGUGGACGCAUACAUUGUGACAUAGUCCAAACGCAAUUGAAAAGCAUUUGAAUUACAGAUGCUUUACACAGAAAGCUGUCAAUUUGUGUCAAGCGUGGGACUAUACUAUGGGGCAUGUUUUUAUUGGGAUAUAUUCUGUAGUUUUACCCCAAAUCUCUCACUGUUUGCACUCUGAUGCACAUCAGCAAAACAACAUUGCAGUUCUACUCUUAUUUACCUAUUUGCAUCUUACCCUAUAUUUUAUUCCUCAGGUGAAAAGCAUUUGGUUAAUGGUGAAUAUUGACCAAUAGUACCAUGUGGCUCUAACUGUUAGCAGGGGAUAGUAGUUGCAUUUGGGGUAAAAAUGACAGAAUUAUUUAUUGUGUGAGGUGCCAAGAAUAUAGGGAGAUCCGGGUUGCACUGUCUGUUCUUUAACACGCAUCUCUCGGAGCGGCAGCUGCCUUUAGUAGUGCCUUAACCUCCAUUGUUCAAAGCAUUUGGCUCCAUAGUAUGGUACCACCUCUAGCAAAAAUUGACAGUUUUCCAUGUGAGGCUAAAGUAAAUUGCUAAAGUAAUUGCGAUUCCCUUUGAGUUUUGGCAGGUAACGUGCAACACAGUGAAAAAACAGACAUAACAGGUAAUUAGUAACACCUCAUGUACUUAUUCUUAUGUUGCAUCUACGCUAACAUUAGUCUGUUUCUCUCUUGUUCCGAGGUCACCGUAGCCACGAGAUCCAGUCUGUAUCCAGAUCAGAGGGUCACUGCAGUCACCCGGAUCCAGCACUUAUCCAGACCAGAUGGUGGAUCAGCACCUAGAAAGGACCUCUACAUCCCUGAAAGACAGCGGAGACCAGGACAGCUAGAGCCCAGAUACAGAUCCCCUGUAAAGACCUUGUCUCAGAGGAGCACCAGGACAAGACCACAGGAAACAGAUGAUUCUUCUGCACAAUCUGACUUUGCUGCAGUCUGGAAUUGAACUACUGGUUUCGUCUGGUCAGAGGAGAACUGACCCCAACUGAGCCUGGUUUCUCCCAAGGAUUUUUCUCCAUUCUGUCACCGAUGGAGUUUCGGUUCUUUGGUUUUCCUUAGUUUGGGACAAUUAAUAUCAAGCCAUAUCAUCGACUUGAUCGCACAGAGGGACGAUACAUCACUGAAUCAAUGAUGAACUGACUUUAACUGAAAACUGAGUGUUUACUGUUGUCUCUUUGCAUUAUUACACACUAUUUUCCUAUUUAAUACUGUAAAGCUGCUAUGAUGCAGUAUUUGAUCAAUAUGAGAGGCUUAUUACUCAUAAUAAAUGGAAAAUACAGCUGCAAACGGACUUUGCUUUUCCAUUUGAAAUUUGGCAGUCACUGUGCAUUCAUGAAAACUGAAAAGGUAAUUUUUGUUCGUUGUUUCUGAAAGUGUUUUUGUUCAAGAUUUGCAAUUGUGUUUGGAUUUUGUCACAAUUUGUCACAUGUGGAAAACGCAAUUGAAAACAUAAUUUGCAAUUCCUUUUGAAAAUUGUCCUUCCAUUGACAGGCUCUAAAGCAGAGUACACUGCUCUCAGGUGAUCUUUGAGUAGAUCUUUGAAUUUUCAUUUUUGGGUGAACUAUAUAUGUUGAACUACCCUAAGCAGUGCACAUCUACCUACAUAGGAGUCUUUCUAUACUUGAUAUAAAUUUAAGGACAUCUUUAAAUUGUUUUACAUUUAAAUUUAAAGAAUGUUAAUUGUCAAUGUCAUUUCACUGUGUAUUUAAAUAGCUAAACAUGUCAAAAUGUAAUAGUUAAACAGCUAGACACAGGUCAUUUAGAAAUAAUUUUCUUAUUUAUUGCAACUGUAAUUCUGAGAUUUUUAUUUUAUUAAUUUUUUUUGCAUUUGCUGGAAACAAAAAAAGGGAAAAUUCCAUGUUGUUUGUCAUUGGUACACAUCAGAUGGCAUUAAAAAUAUUUUUUAACAGUCUAAAUAA